rnacentral:rRNA from 1 species
UACGUAGGGUGCGAGCGUUAAUCGGAAUUACUGGGCGUAAAGCGUGCGCAGGCGGUUCGUUAUGUCCGAUGUGAAAGCCCCGAGCUUAACUUGGGAAUGGCAUUGGAAACUGGCGGGCUGGAGUGCGGCAGAGGGGGGUGGAAUUCCACGUGUAGCAGUGAAAUGCGUAGAGAAUGUGGAGGAACACCGAUGGCGGAAGGCAGCCCCCCUGGGCCGACACUGACGCUCGAGGCACGAAAGCGUGGGGAGCAAACAGG